GCAGUUAAAAAGCUCGUAGUUGGAUUUCUGCGGGGGCGGGGCGGCCGACCUCAACUCGAGGUUCGAGCUAGCACUUCCCCUGCAUCCUGCCGCGAACCGUGCUACCAUUAGUUUGGUGGCGCUGGGGAUCGGCUCGUUUACUUUGUGAAAAAUAGAGUGUUCAAAGCAGGCCACACGCCUUGAAUAAGUUAGCAUGGAAUAAUGAUAAAGGACUUCGGUUCUAUUUUGUUGGUGUUCGGGACUGAAGUAAUGAUUGAUAGGGACAGUUGGGGCGGUCAGUAUUCCAAAGCGAGAGGUGAAAUUCUUAGACCUUCGGAAGACUAACAGCUGCGAAAGCGUUCCG
rnacentral:rRNA from 1 species